AUCAGUUCAAAUCACCGGCACACUCUUCCAGGCCGGGAGUCUCCGGUCUGUAAACCUUCAAUCACCAAAGCCCAGCCAGUGUUCCAGGCCUCUACUUCAGGCACCAAGACAGGCCAGCGCGUCCCCAAAGUCCAGGCCUUCUGUCUCAAAGAGGUCUGUGCCCCUAGGGUCUACUCUUCGAAAGUCGCCAUCUUAAUUCCAGAGCAGCGGAGACCCUCUGGAACACCCCUUCCAAAUCCUACCCUCCCUACCAGGACUUCUCAGACCUUGGGAAGCCACAGAGACACCUUGAAGGGCUGGCUGGCCGGAAGCCAGGUGUGUUCUCCUGCCCUGAACCCUGGGAACCCCUUGUGGAGUCUGCUUUCCCCUAGUUGAAGAGACCAGAGGCCCAAGGCCUCAUUCAGCCUUCAGUGUAUCCAAUAAAGCCUAACCCUGAGAA
rnacentral:lncRNA from 1 species